CCUACGGGGUGCAGCAGUGAGGAAUCUUGCGCAAUGGGGGAAACCCUGACGCAGCAACGCCGCGUGAGUGAAGAAGGCCUUCGGGUCGUAAAGCUCUGUCAGAUGGGAAGAAAUGGAUGGGGGCUAAUAUCGUCCAUCCUUGACGGUACCAUAAGAGGAAGCACCGGCUAACUCCGUGCCAGCAGCCGCGGUAAUACGGGGGGUGCAAGCGUUGUUCGGAAUCAGUGGGCGUACAGCGCGCGCAGGCGGCUUGGUAAGUCAGAGGUGAAAUCCCUGGGCUUAACCCAGGAAGUGCAUUUGUUACUUCCUCGCUAGAGUACGUGAGAGGAAAGUGGAAUUCCUGGUGUAGAGGUGAAAUUCGUAGAUAUCAGGAGGAACACCGGUGGCGAAGGCGACUUUCUGGCCCGAUACUGACGCUCAGGCGCGAAAGCGUGGGGAGCAAACA
rnacentral:rRNA from 1 species